rnacentral:rRNA from 1 species
GACGAACGCUGGCGGCGUGCCUAACACAUGCAAGUCGAACGGGACCAGGGGCAACUCUGGUUCAGUGGCGGACGGGUGCGUAACACGUGAGGAACAUGACCUUCGGCGGGGGAGUAGCCGGCCCGAACCGGCCGGGUAAGUACCGCGUACGACCACUUGGGGACGAUCCUUGAGUGGUGAAAGCAGCAAUGCGCCGAUGAAGUGCCUCGCGGCCUAUCAGCUAGUUGGUGAGGAACGGCUCACCAAGGCGACGACGGGUAGCUGGUCUGAGAGGAUGGCCAGCCACAUUGGGACUGAGACACGGCCCAAACUCCUACGGGAGGCAGCAGUGGGGAAUAUUGGACAAUGGGCGAAAGCCUGAUCCAGCCA